rnacentral:rRNA from 1 species
UACGUAGGUGGCGAGCGUUGUCCGGAUUUAUUGGGCGUAAAGGGUGCGCAGGUGGUGCGGUAAGACUGCCGUGAAAUCUCCUGGCUCAACUGGGAGGGUGCGGUGGAGACUGCCGGACUAGAGGCACUCAGAGGCCGGUGGAAUUCCCGGUGUAGUGGUGAAAUGCGUAGAGAUCGGGAGGAACACCAGUGGCGAAGGCGGCCGGCUGGGGGUGACCUGACGCUGAGGCGCGAAAGCGUGGGGAGCGAACCGGG